GACGAAGGAUGCAAGCGUUAUCCGGAUUCAUUGGGUUUAAAGGGAGCGUAGGUGGCCUGAUAAGUCAGUGGUGAAAUCUCGAGGCUUAACCUCGAAAUUGCCAUUGAUACUGUUAGGCUUGAGUAUAGUUGCCGUUGGCGGAAUAUGACAUGUAGUGGUGAAAUACAUAGAGAUGUCAUAGAACACCGAUUGCGAAGGCAGCUAACGAAACUAUAACUGACACUGAGGCUCGAAAGUGCGGGGAUCAAACAGG
rnacentral:rRNA from 1 species